rnacentral:rRNA from 1 species
AGAAUCAACGCUGGCGGCGUGCCUAACACAUGCAAGUCGCACGAGAAAGGGACUUCGGCUCUGAGUAAAGUGGCGCACGGGUGAGUAACACGUGAAUUAUCUACCUCCGAGUGGGGAAUAACUGAGAGAAAUCUUAGCUAAUACCGCAUAACACUUACGAGUCAAAGCAGCAAUGCGCUUGGAGAGGAGUUCGCGGCCGAUUAGUUAGUUGGCGGGGUAAUGGCCCACCAAGACGAUGAUCGGUA